rnacentral:rRNA from 1 species
CAAUAGCGUAUAUUAAAGUUGUUGCAGUUAAAAAGCUCGUAGUUGGAUUUCGGGGCAGCCUGGCUGGUCCGCCGCAAGGCGAGUACUGGUCAGCCGCCCUUCCUCUCGAAAGCCCCGACUGCUCUUUAUUGCAGUGGUCGGGUAGUUCGGGACGUUUACUUUGAAAAAAUUAGAGUGUUCAAGGCAGGCCUACGCCUGAAUACAUUAGCAUGGAAUAAUGGAAGAGGACCUCGGUCCUAUUUUGUUGGUUUCCAGGACCGAAGUAAUGACUAAGAGGGACAGUUGGGGGCAUUCGUAUUUAAUUGUCAGAGGUGAAAUUCUCGGAUUUAUGAAAGACGAACAACUGCGAAAGCAUUUGCCAAGGAUGUUUUCAUUAA